rnacentral:rRNA from 1 species
UACGUAGGCAGCAAGCGUUGUUCGGAGUUACUGGGCGUAAAGGGUGCGUAGGCGGCUUUUUAAGUUUGGUGUGAAAUCUCCCGGCUCAACUGGGAGGGUGCGCCGAAUACUGAGAGGCUAGAGUGCGGGAGAGGAAAGUGGAAUUCCUGGUGUAGCGGUGAAAUGCGUAGAUAUCGCUUGGAACGCCAAAGGUGAAAACGAGGUUGCUGGGGAUGUGCUGACACUGAGACGCGAAAGCCAGGGGAGCGAACAGG